rnacentral:rRNA from 1 species
AUUGAACGCUGGCGGCAGGCCUAACACAUGCAAGUCGAGCGGAUGAAGGGAGCUUGCUCCCGGAUUCAGCGGCGGACGGGUGAGUAAUGCCUAGGAAUCUGCCUGGUAGUGGGGGAUAACGUCCGGAAACGGGCGCUAAUACCGCAUACGUCCUGAGGGAGAAAGUGGGGGAUCUUCGGACCUCACGCUAUCAGAUGAGCCUAGGUCGGAUUAGCUAGCUGGUGGGGUAAAGGCCUACCAAGGCGACGAUCCGUAACUGGUCUGAGAGGAUGAUCAGUCACACUGGAACUGAGACACGGUCCAGACUCCUACGGGAGGCAGCAGUGGGGAAUAUUGGACAAUGGGCGAAAGCCUGAUCCAGCCAUGCCGCGUGUGUGAAGAAGGUCUUCGGAUUGUAAAGCACUUUAAGUUGGGAGGAAGGGCAGUAAGUUAAUACCUUGCUGUUUUGACGUUACCAACAGAAUAAGCACCGGCUAACUUCGUG